GAGUUAGUCGUGGCCCCUGGGUAAAACAGAAAAUCAAAUGGUUCUCUUUGUUCUUCACUAAUUUCAUACAAUGCGAGCGAUUAAAUAAGCUCCAAGGAAAUAUGCAUCGGCUCUUGAUAGGAAGAAUCUUGCAUUAAGACCCAAUUAGCAAAAUAACUUAAGAGCUCAAUUAACAUAUGCAAGGAUAAGAAGGAUGAGAGAUUGAAACUUGAUUCUUAAC
rnacentral:lncRNA from 1 species